ACGGGUGAGUAAUAUAUCGGAACGUACCCUGGAGUGGGGUAACGUAGCGAAAGUUACGCUAAUACCGCAUACGAUCUAAGGAUGAAAGCAGGGGACCAAGGCCUUGUGCUCCUGGAGCGGCCGAUAUCUGAUUAGCUAGUUGGUAGGGUAAAAGCACCAAGGCAUCGAUCAGUAGCUGGUCUGAGAGGACGACCAGCCACACUGGAACUGAGACGGUCCAGACUUCUACGGGAGGCAGCAGUGGGGAAUUUUGGACAAUGGGCGCAAGCCUUCCAGCAAUGCCGCGUGAGUGAAGAAGGCCUUCGGGUUGUAAAGCUCUUUUGUCAGGGGAAAAGGCUACGGAUAAUACCUGUGGCUCAUGACGGUACCUGAAGAAUAAGCACCGGCACUACGUGCCAGCAGCCGCGGUAAUACGUAGGGUGCAAGCGUUAAUCGGAAUUACUGGGUAAAGCGUGCGCAGGCGGUUUUGUAAGACUGUCGUGAAAUCCCCGGGCUCAACCUGGAUGGCGAUGGUGACUGCAAGGCUAGAGUUUGGCAGAGGGGGGUAGAAUUCCACGUGUAAGUGAAAUGCGUAGAUAUGUGGAGGAACACCGAUGGCGAAGGCAGCCCCCUGGGUCAACUGACGCUCAUGCACGAAAGCGUGGGGAGCAAACAGGAUUAGAUACCCUGGUAGUCCACCCUAAACUUGUCUACUAGUUGUCGGGUCUUAAUUGACUUGGUAACGCAGCUAACGCG
rnacentral:rRNA from 1 species